rnacentral:rRNA from 1 species
UACGAAGGGUGCGAGCGUUAAUCGGAAUUACUGGGCGUAAAGCGCGCGUAGGCGGAUAGUUAAGUCGGAUGUGAAAGCCCUGGGCUCAACCUGGGAAUUGCAUUCGAUACUGGCUGGCUAGAGUGUGGUAGAGGGAAGCGGAAUUCCAGGUGUAGCGGUGAAAUGCGUAGAUAUCUGGAGGAACAUCAGUGGCGAAGGCGGCUUCCUGGACCAACACUGACGCUGAGGCGCGAAAGCGUGGGUAGCAAAC